UUUAUCUGUUAUCAUCAUAUCUGGAAAGAAUUAAUAAUCUUUUAUCUGGGAAAGAAACUGAAUUAUGUUGUAUGGUACCUAACGUGCAAUGAAACAUGCAGAAAACAUGAAAUACAAAAAAAAAGGAACAGUCAAUCAAACUGAGAAGCUGAGGCAUUUUUACUACAGAAAAAUGGCAUCUCUAACAAUAUAUUUGUUUCAUGUUUCCUAUUUUUACUUUCUCCCCCUCACCAUCUGCCUCUGUUCUGCUUUUCUCUUUCAAAAAGCAUCCACCUUAUUUAGCUUCACUCACCUCAUCACAGGAUUCAGGCUGAAUUAACACAAAAUCCCCAAUGCCAAGCCAAAAAAGCACUAUCUCUUCAUAAAAGAUCUUCCAAAAAUAACUCUCCUUUUCCUUACAGUAGCUGUAGAUCUUUAAGAGAAGCAGUCCAUCUUGAUUCAGUGCUUUGCUACACACUCUCCAGGCAAAGGAACUCGAGCUUUUUGGCCCCUGGUAACUCUGGGUUGUACCUGUGCCUUCAGUGUUGCUCUUUUUGCCAGAUCUUGCCCUGUUCUUUUGGUAGCCAGCACUAAAUCCCGCAGGAGUGAGAUCCUUUAGUGUGGAGAAAGAAGGUGAAUUACAGAACAUGCAGUUCUUGAGCAAGAACUACUCCUUCCAUCAUGGAAGGAGCAAUGCCCUGGGGGAUUUGCUGGGCCAGAGUCCCAGUGCUUUGCUUGAGGGACCCUGCAUGAAAAUAAAACCAUUUUGGGGAGACAAUCCUCAGAAGGAAAUAGUGAGAAAUAGAGAAUGCCCAUCUUUGACAUGUGUGCCAUGCAGUGGUCAGGAGAGCUGGCAGUGCCAGAACCUGCACUGUGCUGUGUGCAGAGGAAGCAAAGGACAAUGAGGAGAAGAUGAAAUACAAAAAGUCACUGACCUGUGGCAGCACCAUGAUCUGAGACUGGAGGCAAGUCCCUGCAGGGCCAGAAACGUCAGGGCAAGAGCUCUCAUUUGUGAGUCAAUUCUCUGCAGCAGCCCUAGUGAAUUUGUUACUGCAGUCAGUGCAUGGACUAAGGAAAGCUGCUGGGCCCAGCCAGGGUACAGCCCUGAGGCUCUGGAUGCCCUGGGCAGGAAUGUUCUGUGCAGUGCAGGGAGGAGCUGAGCCGGGUCACACACCCUCCCGGGGCUCUGGCACCUCACUGCCCAUCCUCGUGCCUGCAGGGCCUUGGAGCCAGGAGAGGAGUAAGGGACCCACUGUUACCCUGCCUGUGUCUCUGGGGUCCUGGGAGCUGGUGCCGUGCCACAGGGGCUGACAGAAUCACAGAACAGUUACACUGAAAAACCUCUGACAUCACUGCAUCCAGCCUGGGAGCAAACACUGCUUGUCAUCCAGACCAUGGCACACUGCAAUGUCCAGCUGUUUCUGCAACACCUCCAGGGGUGGUGGCUCCACCUUGGGCAUCCCGUUCUGGUGUUUAAUCACCCUUUUCGUGAAGAAAAUGUUCCUGAUGGGCAACCUCAGCCUCCCCUGGUGCCGCUCCAGGCUGUCUCCUCCAUUCCUGUCACAACCCUGACCCUCACCUGCCAGGGGGAGCGUGGGCACCCCGAAAAUUCCUCUUCCAGGCUUCGAGGUCGGGAUGAGAGGGAGGAAAAAAUAUGGAACGCUUCACGAAUUUGCGUGUCAUCCUUGCGCAGGGGCCAUGCUAAUCUUCUCUGUAUCGUUCCAAUUUUAGUAUAUGUGCUGCCGAAGCGAGCACGAAUUUGUCAGCCUACCCGUCGGUAUUUAUACCCCGAGGUGAAGCGCUCCGUAAGGUCACGGUGACCAAGUGGGACAGCCCGGCCGUGCGGUGGGAGCAGCAGCAGCCCGGCACAGCACCCCGACCGUACCGAGGGGUUCGGCGGCAGGAGAUGGCGGAGACAGGGGGGACAGACCCCAAAUCCGGCCUCAGCCGCGUAUGCAAAUAGCCCUGCAGUAUGCAAAUCUGCGCUAAGCACUCUGGGAGGGCGGUACCGGGGCGCCUCACGGGCCGUUCGGUGUCAAUAACCCCCGGCGGGCUCGGGGUCGCGUUGGGCUGUGCGCAGCUCUGUAUGUGGCACUUUUCUGUGGUGACGCAUCGGUGAAUUGGACCUAAAUUAGUUAAUAUUGCUGCCCUGUGGCGAUAUGCGGCUGGCUGAAGCCGUUUGUCGUUUCACAGAAUCACAGAGUCGUUCGGGUUGGAAGGCCCGUCUGGAGAUCAAAGCCCGUGUCAAGGCAGGGUCACCUGGCGCAGGUGACGCAGGAACGCAUCCAGAGCCGUGGAAAAUGACUGUAAGGUAUUUUUCACGGACAUUUAGAACGCCAGAAACAUUCCUAUGCUUCGUGGAAAACGUAUCUAAAGUAGAAGAGUAACCAGUCAGAGAGUGUUCGUGGAAUUUCCUCUCCUCGUGUCUAUUAUUUAUUGCAGCCAGAGCAGCUAAGGACAUCUUACCACCUUGGCUCCCCUCCUCCAAACCUGUCCUACAAGUCACUUAUUUACAACAACAACAGGAACAAGCCUGCUCUGUUCAUCAGCUCCUCCUCCUCCUCUGGCCAGGUAACCCUGCCUUGCUGGCCCUUGGAAAAAACCACAGAACACAUUC